UACAGAGGGUGCAAGCGUUAAUCGGAAUUACUGGGCGUAAAGCGUGCGUAGACGGUUGCGUAAGUCAGAUGUGAAAGCCCCGGGCUCAACCUGGGAAUUGCAUUUGAGACUGCGUAGCUAGGGUGCGGAAGAGGGAAGCGGAAUUUCCGGUGUAGCGGUGAAAUGCGUAGAUAUCGUAAGGAAGACCAGUGGCGAAGGCGAAUCUCUGGACAGUUACUGACACUGAGGCACGAAGGCCAGGGGAGCAAACGGG
rnacentral:rRNA from 1 species